CCUACGGGAGGCAGCAGUGAGGAAUCUUGGUCAAUGGACGAGAGUCUGACCCAGCCAAGUAGCGUGAAGGAUGACUGCCCUAUGGGUUGUAAACUUCUUUUAUAUGGGAAUAAAAUGUUCCACGUGUGGGAUUUUGUAUGUACCAUAUGAAUAAGUAUCGGCUACCUCCGUGCCAGCAGCCGCGGUAAUACGGAGGAUCCGAGCGUUAUCCGGAUUUAUUGUGUUUAAAGGGAGCGUAGGUGGAUUGUUAAGUCAGUUGUGAAAGUUUGCGGCUCAACCGUAAAAUUGCAGUUGAAACUGGCAGUCUUGAGUACAGUAGAGGUGGGCGGAAUUCGUGGUGUAGCGGUGAAAUGCUUAGAUAUCACGAAGAACGCCGAUUGCGAAGGCAGCUCACUGGACUGCAACUGACACUGAGGCUCGAAAGUGUGGGUAUCAAACAGGAUUAGAUACCCUAGUAGUC
rnacentral:rRNA from 1 species